rnacentral:rRNA from 1 species
GGUUGAUCCUGCCAGUAGUCAUAUGCUUGUCUCAAAGAUUAAGCCAUGCAUGUCUAAGUAUAAGCAAUUUAUACAGUGAAACUGCGAAUGGCUCAUUAAAUCAGUUAUCGUUUAUUUGAUAUUACAUUACUACAUGGAUAACCGUGGUAAUUCUAGGGCUAAUACAUGCUUUAAAGCCCCGACUUUUUGGAAGGGGUGUAUUUAUUAGAUAAAAAACCAAUGUCGUUUCGGCGACUCUGUUGGUGAUUCAUGAUAACUUUUCGAAUCGCAUGGCCUUGUGCCGGCGAUGGUU